rnacentral:snRNA from 1 species
GUGCUCCCUUCGGCAGCACAUGUACUAAAAUUGGAAUAAUACAGAGAAGAUUAGCAUGGCCCCUGUGCAAGGAUGACAAGCAAAUUCAUGAAGCAUUCCAUAUUUAA